AGAGUUUGAUCAUGGCUCAGGACGAACGCUGGCGGCGGGCCUAACACAUGCAAGUCGUGGGAGAAUCCGGGAGCUUCGGCUCCCGGAGGAGACCGGCGGAUGGGUGAGUAACGCGUAGGCAACCUGCCCGGCAGACGGGGAUAACUCCGCGAAGGCGGGGCUAAUACCCGAUGAUGCAGCGGCCCCGCAUGGGGACAGUUGUUAAACCCGGCACAUAAUUCGUUAUGUGCGGGGGCUACCGGAUGGGCCUGCGUGUCAUUAGCUGGUUGGUGAGGUAACGGCUCACCAAGGCGAUGGUGACUAGGGGGUCUGAGAGGAUGAUCCCCCACACUGGGACUGAGACACGGCCCAGACUCCUACGGGAGGCAGCAGUGAGGAAUCUUGCGCAAUGGAGGCAACUCAGACGCAGCCACGCCGCGUGCCGGAAGACGGCCCUAUGGGUUGUAAACGGCUUUUGAUGGGGAAGAACCCGGGCCUUUCGAGGUCCGCUGACGGUACCCAUCGAAUAAGCACCGGCUAACUCCGUGCCAGCAGCCGCGGUAAUACGGAGGGCGCAAGCGUUGUCCGGAAUCAUUGGGUGUAAAGGGUGCGUAGGCGGAAGCCUAAGUCGGGGGUGAAAUCUUGCCGCUCAACGGUAAAAUGGCCUUCGAUACUGGGUUUCUUGAGUCUGGAAGAGGUUGGUGGAAUUCGUGGUGUAGCGGUGAAAUGCAUAGAUAUCACGAAGAACACCGGUGGCGAAGGCGGCCAACUGGUCCGGCACUGACGCUGAGGCACGAGAGCGUGGGGAGCGAACAGGAUUAGAUACCCUGGUAGUCCACGCUGUAAACGAUGUAUGCUAGAUGUUGGCCCAUGCGGGUCAGUGUCGCAGUUAACGCAGUAAGCAUACCACCUGGGGGAGUACGUUCGCAAGAAUGAAACUCAAAUGAAUUGACGGGGA
rnacentral:rRNA from 1 species